GACGAACGCUGGCGGCGUGCUUAACACAUGCAAGUCGAACGGAAAGGCCCUUCGGGGUACUCGAGUGGCGAACGGGUGAGUAACACGUGGGUGAUCUGCCCUGCACUUUGGGAUAAGCCUGGGAAACUGGGUCUAAUACCGAAUAUGAUCAUCGGCUUCAUGGUCGGUGGUGGAAAGCUUUUGCGGUGUGGGAUGGGCCCGCGGCCUAUCAGCUUGUUGGUGGGGUAAUGGCCUACCAAGGCGACGACGGGUAGCCGGCCUGAGAGGGUGACCGGCCACACUGGGACUGAGAUACGGCCCAGACUCCUACGGGAGGCAGCAGAGGGGAAUAUUGCACAAUGGGCGCAAGCCUGAUGCAGCGACGCCGCGUGAGGGAUGACGGCCUUCGGGUUGUAAACCUCUUUCAGCACAGACGAAGCGCAAGUGACGGUAUGUGCAGAAGAAGGACCGGCCAACUACGUG
rnacentral:rRNA from 1 species